rnacentral:rRNA from 1 species
AUUGAACGCUGGCGGCAUGCCUUACACAUGCAAGUCGAACGGCAGCACGGGAGCAAUCCUGGUGGCGAGUGGCGAACGGGUGAGUAAUAUAUCGGAACGUGCCCAGUCGUGGGGAUAACGUAGCGAAAGCUACGCUAAUACCGCAUACGAUCUAUGGAUGAAAGCGGGGGAUCGCAAGACCUCGCGCGAUUGGAGCGGCCGAUAUCAGAUUAGGUAGUUGGUGAGGUAAAGGCUCACCAAGCCGACGAUCUGUAGCUGGUCUGAGAGGACGACCAGCCACACUGGGACUGAGACACGGCCCAGACUCCUACGGGAGGUAGCAGUGGGGAAUAUUGGACAAUGGGCGAAAGCCUGAUCCAGCAAUGCCGCGUGAGUGAUGAAGG